CCCUUCGGGGCUCCUUGGUGAUUCAUGAUAACUUUACGGAUCGCAUAGCCUUGCGCUGGCGACGGUUCAUUCAAAUUUCUGCCCUAUCAACUUUCGAUGGUAAGGUAUUGGCUUACCAUGGUUUCAACGGGUAACGGGGAAUUAGGGUUCGAUUCCGGAGAGGCAGCCUGAGAAACGGCUACCACAUCCAAGGAAGGCAGCAGGCGCGCAAAUUACCCAAUCCCGACACGGGGAGGUAGUGACAAUAAAUACUGAUACAGGGCUCUUUUGGGUCUUGUAAUUGGAAUGAGUACAAUUCAAAUCUCUUAACGAGGAACAAUUGGAGGGCAAGUCUGGUGCCAGCAGCCGCGGUAAUUCCAGCUCCAAUAGCGUAUAUUAAAGUUGUUGCAGUUAAAAAGCUCGUAGUUGAAACUUGGGCCUGGCUGGCGGGUCCGCCUCACCGCGUGCACUCGUCCGGCCGGGCCUUCCUUCUGAAGAACCUCAUGCCCUUCACUGGGCGUGCUGGGGAAUCAGGACUUUUACUUUGAAAAAAUUAGAGUGUUCAAAGCAGGCCUUUGCUCGAAUACGUUAGCAUGGAAUAAUAAAAUAGGGCGUGCGUUUCUAUUUUGUUGGUUUCUAGAGACGCCGCAAUGAUUAACAGGAACAGUCGGGGGCAUCAGUAUUCAGUUGUCAGAGGUGAAAUUCUUGGAUUUACUGAAGACUAACUACUG
rnacentral:rRNA from 1 species